GAGGUUGGAAGCCAACUUGGAGAUGGAAUUGCAACUGGGUUUUCGACACAAAAGAGUUCCCCAACAUAAAGCUUGCAAUCAGCUUCAUCCUCCUAUUCCGUGAAGAGAAAUUGGUGAUUUCGAUGAGAGAAUUGGCCUAGGCUCACGGUGAUUUGUACCGGGUACAAAUCAAGUACAGGAGCUGUGGUGUCACAAAUUUCAGAGUUCCAGAAAUUGAUUCGACGGUACCAGGCGAGGACAGCAGCUGCAGUCAGGACUCUAGAGCUUCAAUUUGAAGGUGAGUCUCUGUCUACUUAGACUUUGUUCAUAUUUUUUGUGUUAUUUGAGUUGGUGCUUUAAAGGCAGGUCCCUUUUUAAUUUGACAUGGUGAUAGGAGGGACUGUUCUGUUUAUAGAACAUCGGAGACGCUGCUCCGGUAUAUUCAUCGGGACGCUGCCCGGCAUGAGUUCAUCGGGACGCUGCCCUGCAUGAGUUCAUCGGGACGCUGCCCGACAUGAGUUCAUCGGGACGCUGCCUGGCAUGAGUUCAUCGGGACGCUGCCUGGCAUGAGUUCAUCGGGUCGCUGCCCGGCAUGGUUCAUCGGGACGUUGCCCGGCAUGGUCAUCGGAGGCGCUGCUCCGGCAUGGUUUCAUCGGGACGCUACUCGGCAUGUUGGCUUUGACAUCAUUGACACCCGAAGGUGCCGUUGUGAGGAGGGCUGCAACAGAAAAGAGAAGGUGGUGGAGAGCAAUGGAAUGAGGUCUGAACCUUUUGUCUUCCAAGCUGCUUGCUGCUUUCUCCUUCUUGUAUUUUUUCCACGCUGCUGUGCUCCGUUGUCCUCCCUCCUUUUCUUCUUUUCAUGUAGUGUUUUUAUACUGCACCCGAGAUGAGUUUGGCUUGUAUACAACACAGAGGGUUUUAGAGUUCAACUUGAAGUGAACUAGUUGGACAUUUUAUCUCCUUUUUCUUUUGACGUGAAGACUGCAACUUCUUUUUCAAUUGCUUGUCUAGACUUUGAAACAAGCUAGAAGUCAGCAGCUUAAUUGUUUCUUUUGUUUAAAGCUUCACUAGCUGUCAAAC